UUCAUGAGGUCGGCCUCCUUGUGAUGAUGUCGGCCUCCUUGUGAUGAUGUCAACCUCCAAAUGAUUUCGUGAGAUCAACCUCCUUGUGAUGAUGUCGGUCUCCUUAUGAGGUUGGCUUUCAGAUUAUUUUGUGAAGUCGGCCUCCUUGUGAGGUCGGUCUCCGAAUGACUUCGUGAGGUCGGACUUCGAAUGACUUUGUGAGGUUGGCCUCGUGAGGUCGGCUUUCGGAUGAUUUCGUGAGAUUAGCCUCAUGAGAUCGGCCUCCAAAUGACUUUGUGAGGUUGGCGUCCUUGUAAUGAUAUUGGCCUCCUGGUGAGGUCGGCCUCCAGAUGACUUCGUGAGAUAGACCUCCUCGUGAGGUCAGUCUUCGAAUGACUUCACGAGAUCGGCCUCCAGAUAAUUUUGUGAGGUCGGCCUCCUUGUGAUAAGAUCGGCUUUCUCGUGAGGUUGGUCUCCGGAUGACUUCUUGAGGUCGUCCUUCGGAUGACUUCGUGAGGUCAAUCUCCUUGUGAUGAUGUCGGCCUCCUCGUGAGGUCGGUCUUCGGAUGACUUCGUGAGGUCGGCCUCCUUGUGAUGAUGUCGGCCUCCUCGUGAGAUCGACCUUCAGAUGACUUCGUGAGGUCGGUCUUCGGAUGACUUCAUGAGGUCGGCCUCCUUAUAAGGUCGGCUUUCGGAUGACUUCGUGUGGUUGGCCUCGUGAGGUCGGCCUCCGGAUAACUUCGUGAAGUUGGCCUCCUUGUGAUGAUGUUGGCCUCUUCGUGAGGUCGGCCUUCGGAUGAUUUCGUGAGGCCAGCCUUCGAAUGAUUUCGUGAGGUCGGUCUCCUUGUGAGGUCGGCCUCCGAAUGACUUCAUGAGAUCAGCCUUCUUGUGAUGAUGUCGGCCUCCUCAUGAGGUCGUUCUCUGAAUAACUUCUGAGGUCGGUGAUA
rnacentral:lncRNA from 1 species